GUCCACGCCGUAAACGUUGGGCACUAGGUGUGGGUCUCAACCAACGAGAUCCGCGCCGUCGCUAACGCAUUAAGUGCCCCGCCUGGGGAGUACGGUCGCAAGACUAAAACUCAAAGGAAUUGACGGGGGCCCGCACAAGCAGCGGAGCGUGUUGCUUAAUUCGAUGCAACGCGAAGAACCUUACCUGGGUUUGACAUGUAGGGAAAAGCUCUAGAGAUAGGGUGUCCUUCGGGGCUCUACACAGGUGGUGCAUGGCUGUCGU
rnacentral:rRNA from 1 species